UCGGGUCAUACUAUACGGCUAUUUAAAGACGAAUCUGUGCUACAAGUGUCGUUUUGACAGUGUUGUGAUUGUCCUUUUCAGUCUCAAGUUAUAGCGCGUCAAAUAUGGAAUCUACCAAGCAAGAAAUUCGCCAUAUUUUACUUUUUACUACCUGCGAGGUAAAACUGCAACGAAGGCGGCCAAAAAAAUUCGUGUAGUUUAUCGACCGAAAAAAUUCGUGUAGUUUAUGGACCCGAUACUUUUUUUUCAUCCAGUUCAUUUAUUUGUAAGGCUCAAUCGCAUAAGCUUUGCGGAGCCGCUAAUUCAAGGAGUAUACUGAUGGCAAGAAUUAACAGCACAGCAGAGACUUUCAACAUCGUGAGUAUCAGAGUGUAUCAGGCGUGCCCCAAAGAAGCAACGUUGGACUGCUACUCUUCUCGAUUUACUACAAUGAUGUUUGCCCCCAGGAUGCGGAAUCGUGUACGCUGAGGACCUCAAAAUAUUCCUUAGUUGCUGUUCGAUGAUUUUGUUAUUAUUACAGAUCACGGUUGGAAACGAGACUACGAUUACCGUUCAUCCAAUGCUGGUCAGAGUCGUAAGGGAUACACAGGAAACAUCGAGUCAGCCCAGGCCGUCGUUGAGAUUGAUCGAAGCUGGUCAGCCAAUACCGACUACCUCUGAAACCGAGAUACCAACCGUGGAGGAGAGAAAUGGUGUUCGGCAAACACCGGUUCGAAGGGAGAUUCAAUCAACAGUAAAUCGAAACAGAAAGAGAAAGUAUCCACCUGAAUCGGUAGUGCUAACUGGCCUACCAAGGCGUCCGAAGAGAGAAAAGAAGCCAAAAAUAGAAAAGAUAGUGAUUAUGAAUAUUUUUAAAUUAUUGUUCUUAUUUCUGAAUUUUUUAAGGGGGAAGAGCUAUUGUGUUUUGAAUUAGAAUUUAGAUUAGUUGAAUUUUAGAAUGUUUUCGAACAUCUAUCAAAUGAGUAUAUUGUAUAGACACUAUAGAUAAGUUCAAUUAUUCGUGUAUUCAGCAUUCGACGGGAUAAACAUACUGCUGUCAAGUAGUUGUUGAAAUAAAGCCUUUUCCGACUUC